AAAACGGUCCUUUUCAGGACCACUAAACACUGAAAACGACACAAAG
rfam:Acyrthosiphon pisum strain LSR1 Contig2994, whole genome shotgun sequence.